AACGAACGCUGGCGGCAGGCUUAACACAUGCAAGUCGAACGCCCCGCAAGGGGAGUGGCAGACGGGUGAGUAACGCGUGGGAAUCUACCCAACCCUACGGAACAACUCCGGGAAACUGGAGCUAAUACCGUAUACGCCCUACGGGGGAAAGAUUUAUCGGGGAUGGAUGAGCCCGCGUUGGAUUAGCUAGUUGGUGGGAUAAAGGCCUACCAAGGCGACGAUCCAUAGCUGGUCUGAGAGGAUGAUCAGCCACAUUGGGACUGAGACACGGCCCAAACUCCUACGGGAGGCAGCAGUGGGGAAUAUUGGACAAUGGGCGCAAGCCUGAUCCAGCCAUGCCGCGUGAGUGAUGAAGGUCUUAGGAUUGUAAAGCUCUUUCACCGGAGAAGAUAAUGACGGUAUCCGGAGAAGAAGCCCCGGCUAACUUCGUGCCAGCCGCCGCCGUAA
rnacentral:rRNA from 1 species